rnacentral:rRNA from 1 species
UACGAAGGGGGCUAGCGUUGCUCGGAAUUACUGGGCGUAAAGCGCACGUAGGCGGCUUCUUAAGUCGGUGGUGAAAUCCUGGAGCUCAACUCCAGAACUGCCUUCGAUACUGGGAAGCUUGAGUCCGGGAGAGGUGAGUGGAACUGCGAGUGUAGAGGUGAAAUGCGCAGAUAUCGGGAAGAACACCCGUGGCGAAGGCGGCUCUCUGGGACGGUACUGACGCUGAGACGCGAAAGCGUGGGGAGCGAACAGG